rnacentral:tRNA from 2 species
GCCUGGGUGGCUCAGUCGGUUGAGCAUCUGACUUCGGCUCAGGUCGUGAUCUCACGGUUUGUGGGUUCGAGCCCCGCGUCGGGCU